AGCAACCUGCCCCUGACUCUGGGAUAAGCGCUGGAAACGGCGUCUAAUACUGGAUAUGUGACGUGACCGCAUGGUCUGCGUCUGGAAAGAAUUUCGGUUGGGGAUGGGCUCGCGGCCUAUCAGCUUGUUGGUGAGGUAAUGGCUCACCAAGGCGUCGACGGGUAGCCGGCCUGAGAGGGUGACCGGCCACACUGGGACUGAGACACGGCCCAGACUCCUACGGGAGGCAGCAGUGGGGAAUAUUGCACAAUGGGCGCAAGCCUGAUGCAGCAACGCCGCGUGAGGGACGACGGCCUUCGGGUUGUAAACCUCUUUUAGCAGGGAAGAAGCGAAAGUGACGGUACCUGCAGAAAAAGCGCCGGCUAACUACGUGCCAGCAGCCGCGGUAAUACGUAGGGCGCAAGCGUUAUCCGGAAUUAUUGGGC
rnacentral:rRNA from 1 species